rnacentral:lncRNA from 11 species
UAAAUCAUGAUUUAAAUGCUUUGUGUUGGAAACUGAAUUGUUUUUUCUUUCUCUCUUCUUGUUUAGGUGCUUGGUACCCCAAAUGAGGAGUCAUGGCCUGGAGUUCAUUCUCUGCCCCAUUUCAAGCCAGGAUACAAUGUUUUAUAUUUGGCCCUGCUUUCCAAAGAACGAAGAGUUUAAUCCUCUGUGGCUAUGUCUUAAAAGGAGGUAUAUAAACAAUAAGCAUAUAUCUAACUCCAUAAAUCAUAAAAUAAUUUCCUGUAUGCUCUGCUCAAUGCUGAUGAGAAGAACACUUCAUGGUAAGUCCAAUUUAUAUUUCCCUUUAAUGUGUUCAUGCAAUAGCCAUGUCCUGUGUCCUGAAAUGGAAAGACCUACUGCCAUGUCUCUGCCCAUAUUCCCUUCCCCAGAUCUCUUAUUUCAGCACCCCCC